rnacentral:lncRNA from 1 species
AUAGAUGAAUAGAAUGAGCAAAAGUUGCAGCACAGCGUGUCACCAGAGAGGAAAAGAAUAUCCUUGCUGUGCCAAGAAAGAAAAGACCAUGGAUCUACUAGUUGCAGAUUUCAGCAGUAAUGCCAAGGGGGCAAGAAGUGACCAGCAGAACAAUUAGGCCAUGGCAACAGAAGCCAACUACAACCCAUGUUCCAAUCUAUGACCUCCCUCUCCUGCUGGUACAAGGAUAUGAAUGUGGCUGUAGCAUCAUUUUUGGAAGCCAGAAUGGUAAUACUGAAAAUCACUGCUUGUCUCAAGAUCCAACUUCUGGAAAUCUCAACCAUUCUGAAUACAGCCAUCAUUCUUAAAAUUGAAGAGAACUGUUUUACAAGAUCUUGACUUGUAAAGAAACCAAGUUUAUUAAGGGCAAGAGCUGAUAAUCAACUGACUAAUGAGGAUUGACUUCUACAAUUGAUGAGCAUGGAAUUGGAUGUGCCUAAAUCAACAGAAGAGGGAUUUUGAUGUCAUCACACUGUAGCCCCAGAAGACAGAACGCUCAAAGGUGUCAAUGGGCAGAAUUUGUAGAUGACAUACAGCAUCCAAUGGAUUACUCCUAUUCAGUAUUCCUUAGAGCAAAGGAUGCAAUGUCAAGCAAGUUGUGAUACCUCAACUAUCUACAAUUUAACACCAAGGAAAGAACACUGUUUGGAGAAAUGAGAAAGAUUAUCAUCAGUGUCUUUCAGAAGUCAUCAAAAGAAGAAAAGGAGAAAAGAGAGGAGAAAGCAGAAAGAUCUGGAGUCUGGGAAGUUCAAGAGCAUGGCACCAACAUCUGGCAAGGGCUUUCAUUCUGCAUCAUCUCAUGGAGGAAAAUAAAAAGAUUUCAGGUAAAUCCAGAUUUGGAGCUUAAAUGACUCAAAUGCUUUGCCUACAUUGAUCCUACAUUCAGGCUGCUUACAUAUCUCUUGGCUUCUCUGAGAACCAGAUUGUCACCACUUAAAGUGUCUUCCAGAGUCCUCACGAGUAUCAGAGAAGGCAUAAUCUGUACACGUGGCUUCAUUUAAAAUGAAAAUAUCAAGCAGUGUCAUUUUCACAAGUAUCCCCACACUGUCUGAGGCUGAAAAGAAGAGUGUAGCUAUGCACACUGCAGUGAGAAGAAAAUUUCAGCUCAAUUGGAGGAUGUAAAGAUUGAAAUACCACUGCUCCUAGUUCUGAUGCAAAAUUGAAAAGAGUGCACUGGGUCUUCAAAUGGCAUAUUGACAAGGAGAAAGAGGAAAGGAUGCCCCAGGACAGCCUGGGGGUCAAGGCUGGGCUCAGGCAUGCCUGGACAAGCCAUGCAAGUUGUCUCCGGACUUGAACCACGUAUCAGAGGAGCUAUUUGAGGAGCCACAUCAGCAUACCUGCUUCUGUGGGCCCCCAGGCUGUGGUGCUCAGCCCUUGCACUAUGAAACAUUUUUUUUUUCCAGAAGCCAAAGCUUUGAGCAUCUCCUCCCAUGUAGAGAGUGUAUAUGUUUACGUCCAUGUCUUUCGCCAUGUGAACGCAUGCAACCACCACCUCAAAUAUCAUAAAUCCUCUCUCUCCCCCUUUCUGUCUGCCUGUUUAUCUACAAUCUGUCUAUUUAAAUUCUUUUUAAACAAGAAGGGAAUAUCUUUAUGCCUGUUUGUAGGGAUAUUCUACAUCCAUCUGUUAUUUACAUCAUUCGUUUUCCUGAGGUGUCUCCAACAAAUCCUGGCUGGAUGCACUGUAUGUGUUAUUAAUAAAACAGCUGUAAAAAUAUUAAC